GCUUAUAAGAAACAUAUGUUCCGUAAUAAUUGAAAGAAGAAGUGAUAGUAAUGGUAUACUUAUCUGAAAACACGUGUUAGUGUUAGUGUCACAAACUUACACGCCAUAUAACAUCAUCUAUAUAAAACUCUAAACCAAUAAUAAAUCCCCUCCCCUCGUCACUAGAGAAUUAAUCCAUCAUGUUGAAUUUGCGGUGGCCGGAGCUGAAUCUAUCGCCGUGGAGGUUGCCGGUGUUGGACAUGUCGUAUUGGAACACAAGUUGGAACCUUCAAUGGUUGAGUUUGUCUUUGUUGGAUGAUUUGUUAUGGGCUUGUCUCACUUUUCUGGAGUCCUUUGUCUUGCUCUCAAUGCUUUGCUACUUUUUCCUAUGUUGCGGUUGUACUCUCUAACUUUCAUUCUGGUAUCUUAAAUCAUGUUUCGGAAAACAUGUCAUACAAUUAAAAAUUACAUAUUUUUUUAUUUUUUAUUUUUUUGUUUUAAUAUUAUUGGUCUGAAACGUAGUUUAGAAUAACAUUUCAUUCUCUAUAAUUUAAUUGAGAAAUAUACAUCUAGUGUACCUACAGUUUUAAUAUUUUUUUUGCACAGGAUAAUGAUAAGGAACACUAAGUAUAGAAGAUUUCUAGUUAGUUAUACUUGUAAAGUAGAAAAUUGUUAGCUUUUAUUUUUGUUUUGUUUGGUUUGCUACUUUUGGGUUGAAUGGUUUUA
rnacentral:lncRNA from 1 species